rnacentral:rRNA from 1 species
AUGGAGGGGGGCGGCGAGGGGAAGGGCCGGGCGGCGCCGGCGGCGGGGGGAGGGUUCGGCGGGUACGAGUCGGCCGGGGACCGCAAGUGGUGGCCCUGGCUCGUGCCCACCGUCAUCGUCGCCUGCGUCGCCGUCUUCGUCGUCGAGAUGUGGGUCAACGACUGCCCCAGGCACGGCAGUGCGCUCGGCGGCGGCUGCGUCGCGGGCUUCCUCCGCCGCUUCUCCUUCCAGCCGCUCCGCGAGAACCCGCUCCUCGGGCCCUCCUCCACCACUUUGGGGAAAAUGGGAGCUCUUGACUGGAACAAAGUUGUCCAUCAGCACCAAGGGUGGCGUCUCAUUAGCUGCAUCUGGCUCCAUGCUGGCCUAAUCCAUUUGGUUGUGAACAUGCUAAGUCUGCUGUUUAUUGGGAUUCGUCUUGAGCAGCAAUUUGGGUUCGUUCGCAUUGGCGCUAUCUAUCUACUGUCUGGUUUCGGCGGCAGCGUAAUGUCCGCACUUUUCCUACGGAAUAACUACAUCUCUGUUGGUGCAUCUGGAGCUUUAUUUGGGCUGCUUGGAUCUAUGCUUUCUGAGCUGCUUAUGAACUGGACAAUUUAUUCCAACAAGGUUGCAGCCAUAAUAACUCUUCUGUUUAUAAUUGCGAUCAACGUGGCGAUCGGGAUACUACCGCAUGCUGAUAACUUUGCUCAUAUUGGUGGAUUCUUGACGGGGUUCCUUUUGGGGUUCGUUCUGCUGGCUAGGCCACAAUUCGGUUGGUUGGAACGCAGCGAGCUACCCCAUACUAAUCAGCCUCCUAAGUACAAACCAUACCAAUAUGUCCUGUGGGUUGUGGCACUCGUCUUGCUGCUUGUCGGGUUCACGCUUUCGUUGGUGAUGCUCUUCAAAGGCAAGAACGGGAAUGACGGCUGCCACUGGUGCCACUACCUGAACUGCGUGCCGACGUCGAGGUGGAAGUGCGAUACCUAG